rnacentral:rRNA from 1 species
GAUGAACGCUAGCGGCAGGCCUAAUACAUGCAAGUCGAGGGAGAAUGUUGGAUUCGUCUGACAUGAAACCGGCGCACGGGUGCGUAACACGUAUGCAACCUACCUUAACUGGGGUAUAGCUCAGAGAAAUCUGAAUUAAUCCCCCAUAAGACUACGACAUGGCAUCAUGAUGUAGUUAAAGCUCCGGCGGUUAAGGAUGGGCAUGCGGUACAUUAGCUAGUUGGUGAGGUAAUGGCUCACCAAGGCUACGAUGUAUAGGGGGUCUGAGAGGAUGAUCCCCCACACUGGUACUGAGACACGGACCAGACUCCUACGGGAGGCAGCAGUAGGGAAUAUUGGUCAAUGGACGCAAGUCUGAACCAGCCAUGCCGCGUGAAGGAUGAAGGCCCUAUGGGUCGUAAACUUCUUUUAUUAGGGAAGAAAAAACGGGAUGUGUCCUGUACUGACGGUACUUAAUGAAUAAGGAUCGGCUAACUUCGUGCCAGCCGCCGCAGUAA